rnacentral:rRNA from 2 species
AGCGUACACGGUGGAUGCCCUGGCAGUCAGAGGCGAUGAAGGACGUGCUAAUCUGCGAUAAGCGCCGGUAAGGUGAUAUGAACCGUUAUAACCGGCGAUUUCCGAAUGGGGAAACCCAGUGUGACUCGUCACACUAUCAUUAACUGAAUCCAUAGGUUAAUGAGGCGAACCGGGGGAACUGAAACAUCUAAGUACCCCGAGGAAAAGAAAUCAACCGAGAUUCCCCCAGUAGCGGCGAGCGAACGGGGAGGAGCCCAGAGCCUGAAUCAGCAUGUGUGUUAGUGGAAGCGUCUGGAAAGGCGCGCGAUACAGGGUGACAGCCCCGUACACAAAAGCGCAUGUGCUGUGAGCUCGAUGAGUAGGGCGGGACACGUGGUAUCCUGUCUGAAUAUGGGGGGACCAUCCUCCAAGGCUAAAUACUCCUGACUGACCGAUAGUGAACCAGUACCGUGAGGGAAAGGCGAAAAGAACCCCGGCGAGGGGAGUGAAAAAGAACCUGAAACCGUGUACGUACAAGCAGUGGGAGCACCCUUUGGGGUGUGACUGCGUACCUUUUGUAUAAUGGGUCAGCGACUUAUAUUCUGUAGCAAGGUUAACCGAAUAGGGGAGCCGGAGGGAAACCGAGUCUUAACCGGGCGUUAAGUUGCAGGGUAUAGACCCGAAACCCGGUGAUCUAGCCAUGGGCAGGUUGAAGGUUGGGUAACACUAACUGGAGGACCGAACCGACUAAUGUUGAAAAAUUAGCGGAUGACCUGUGGCUGGGGGUGAAAGGCCAAUCAAACCGGGAGAUAGCUGGUUCUCCCCGAAAGCUAUUUAGGUAGCGCCUCGUGAAUUCAUCUCCGGGGGUAGAGCACUGUUUCGGCUAGGGGGCCAUCCCGGCUUACCAACCCGAUGCAAACUGCGAAUACCGGAGAAUGUUAUCACGGGAGACACACGGCGGGUGCUAACGUCCGUCGUGAAGAGGGAAACAACCCAGACCGCCAGCUAAGGUCCCAAAGUCAUGGUUAAGUGGGAAACGAUGUGGGAAGGCCCAGACAGCCAGGAUGUUGGCUUAGAAGCAGCCAUCAUUUAAAGAAAGCGUAAUAGCUCACUGGUCGAGUCGGCCUGCGCGGAAGAUGUAACGGGGCUAAACCAUGCACCGAAGCUGCGGCAGCGACGCUGAUGCGUUGUUGGGUAGGGGAGCGUUCUGUAAGCCUGUGAAGGUGGCCUGUGAGGGUUGCUGGAGGUAUCAGAAGUGCGAAUGCUGACAUAAGUAACGAUAAAGCGGGUGAAAAGCCCGCUCGCCGGAAGACCAAGGGUUCCUGUCCAACGUUAAUCGGGGCAGGGUGAGUCGACCCCUAAGGCGAGGCCGAAAGGCGUAGUCGAUGGGAAACGGGUUAAUAUUCCCGUACUUGGUGUUACUGCGAAGGGGGGACGGAGAAGGCUAUGUUGGCCGGGCGACGGUUGUCCCGGUUUAAGCGUGUAGGUGUGUGUUCCAGGUAAAUCCGGUUCACUUUAACACUGAGGCGUGAUGACGAGGCACUACGGUGCUGAAGCAACAAAUGCCCUGCUUCCAGGAAAAGCCUCUAAGCAUCAGGUAACAUCAAAUCGUACCCCAAACCGACACAGGUGGUCAGGUAGAGAAUACCAAGGCGCUUGAGAGAACUCGGGUGAAGGAACUAGGCAAAAUGGUGCCGUAACUUCGGGAGAAGGCACGCUGACACGUAGGUGAAGUGAUUUACUCAUGGAGCUGAAGUCAGUCGAAGAUACCAGCUGGCUGCAACUGUUUAUUAAAAACACAGCACUGUGCAAACACGAAAGUGGACGUAUACGGUGUGACGCCUGCCCGGUGCCGGAAGGUUAAUUGAUGGGGUCAGCGCAAGCGAAGCUCCUGAUCGAAGCCCCGGUAAACGGCGGCCGUAACUAUAACGGUCCUAAGGUAGCGAAAUUCCUUGUCGGGUAAGUUCCGACCUGCACGAAUGGCGUAAUGAUGGCCAGGCUGUCUCCACCCGAGACUCAGUGAAAUUGAACUCGCUGUGAAGAUGCAGUGUACCCGCGGCAAGACGGAAAGACCCCGUGAACCUUUACUAUAGCUUGACACUGAACAUUGAGCCUUGAUGUGUAGGAUAGGUGGGAGGCUUUGAAGUGUGGACGCCAGUCUGCAUGGAGCCGGCCUUGAAAUACCACCCUUUAAUGUUUGAUGUUCUAACGUGGACCCGUGAUCCGGGUUGCGGACAGUGUCUGGUGGGUAGUUUGACUGGGGCGGUCUCCUCCUAAAGAGUAACGGAGGAGCACGAAGGUUGGCUAAUCCUGGUCGGACAUCAGGAGGUUAGUGCAAUGGCAUAAGCCAGCUUGACUGCGAGCGUGACGGCGCGAGCAGGUGCGAAAGCAGGUCAUAGUGAUCCGGUGGUUCUGAAUGGAAGGGCCAUCGCUCAACGGAUAAAAGGUACUCCGGGGAUAACAGGCUGAUACCGCCCAAGAGUUCAUAUCGACGGCGGUGUUUGGCACCUCGAUGUCGGCUCAUCACAUCCUGGGGCUGAAGUAGGUCCCAAGGGUAUGGCUGUUCGCCAUUUAAAGUGGUACGCGAGCUGGGUUUAGAACGUCGUGAGACAGUUCGGUCCCUAUCUGCCGUGGGCGCUGGAGAACUGAGGGGGGCUGCUCCUAGUACGAGAGGACCGGAGUGGACGCAUCACUGGUGUUCGGGUUGUCAUGCCAAUGGCACUGCCCGGUAGCUAAAUGCGGAAGAGAUAAGUGCUGAAAGCAUCUAAGCACGAAACUUGCCCCGAGAUGAGUUCU